UUCCAUCAUCUGUUCAAUUAUUUCCUUCAAAAUUUCAACUACUUACGUACCUGUCGAUCAUCUGUUUCAUCUACUUCAAAUAUCCCUUCAAAGUUUCAUGUACUUCCAUCAUUUGUUCAAAGAUUUGCCAACAGAAGACACCCGCCCCAUCUCUUCCAUCGGGACUAGAAGGGCCUGAAAAGAUUCAAUCGAUCCACUACGAGAGCUCGAAUCCGCUUUGAAGGUUCGGUUUUUGGUACUCGUUUUGGGCAUUCUGCCCCCCUUUGGUGGCGUAACGGCGGCAAGCGGCGUAAUCGCGAAGGUAAAAGCGAAAUCGAUGAAUCUAGAUUAGAAAUUGCAUUACGUUGAUGAACGGGGGAGGAGAACCAAAUCAGAGCCCGUCUAUUUAGCAUCGUGCGGAUUCAUCGUCGGGGGUAAUUCCACCGACAACCGAGUUUGACGAUUUUCUAUGUUCUUCUUUCCGUCAUAUUUUCUGCUUUUCCUUUAUUAUUAUUUUUUUGUUUCGACGAUUUGAUGGGAAUUUGCCCUUCAGCGAAGGGAGAGCCGUGAUCGGCGAGCAGUGGCAGACCGGAGACCGUGGACGAAAUCGAUUUGGUCUAAGUUAUUGACUCGGUUUGGUAAGCCCUCUACCAGAAACAAAUCUUGGUUCGAUAAUUACUCAUUUAGUCCUCACAUAACCAGAGAAUGUCGGUAUUGUAUGCAGACUGAAAUGGGUACACAUAGUGGGAUCAACCAUUUUCGGGGCAAGGGACUAUGUAAAGAAGACUUGACUUGAAUUCACCACAUUCUUGGGGAUGCUGUAAAGAGCAGUCAACAUCUAAUCAUACUCGAGUUAGCACAAAGUGUACUAGCAGUGUUAUAUGGUUGCUGGGUUUGUUUGUUGCGAGCAAAGUUUCAUCGGACAAAACUUGAUCCCUACAAGAGUAACCUAUUGGUGGUUUGGUAAGGUGAGAUAUAAUAUUUAGAGGUAUCAAUCUUUUCCUCUAAAACAAUAAAUUUAACUUUCAAACAAGCUUUUAAGAUGAUGACGUUGAGAAUAACGGUGUUAAGUUGAAUGGGUGGACUUUUUGUUUUUUAAAUAUUAAAUAAUUAAACUGUAUGAUAAGUCCAAAGUGAAGAAUUUUAAAAGAAAGACCCGUAUAUUAAUUAUAAGGUCCAAUAUCAUUAUGACACGUGUCAGGGUACCGAUAUCCACCGGCUACCAAAGCGUUGUCAGGGCAUCCAUCAAUCAAUCAUGAAUCGUCGUCACGGAUUAUGAUCUGGACCUGCGAUAUCACUGGUUGCUCCUCGCGGAUUCACACCACAAGCGGGGAUCACCGAUCCUUCGAUCGGCGCAACUGGUUUGAGGAACCCAACAUGAUAGCAUCGCGGCCGACUGAGCCACAAGAUCCGAGUUUCGAGCUGCAUGUGAGUCGAAUGACUCUACCCUGUCCACCUUAGUGAUAAUACUGUCGAUGUGGACUUCCAGUCGGCCCACGCGAGGCUUCGUGCAGAUCGGCUACCCCCAAAUUUUGAUGUUCUUUAAUUUCGUUUAGUACUGUUUAUUGAAUUAUUGGUUGAUUUUCAGGCUGUGUAGCAUUUAGUUUAAUAGUUUGUUUUUCUUUUAAGUUGGGGUAGAGUUUUUUGAGUCUUUUCGUUUUGUCGUGUCCAGAGCCAAUCAUGGUAGUGUUAUAGUUGAGUCAUUCUAUUUUUUUUGUCGCGUUUAGAGCCGUUGUUAGUUGAGUAGAUUAAGACUGCAAAGUAAAGUAUUUAGUUACCUGCUUUCCCUUACGACCUUUUAAAAAACACCUCUCCGUUACCCCACUUGUAUACAAUGUUAUAUUUUGUCUCUGUAAAUAAAAUAAUAUUUUGUAAAAAAAAGAAGAAGAGAAGGGAAUAAGGGAUGGAUGGGUCCUAAAUUUCCGGC
rnacentral:lncRNA from 1 species